UGCCUUACCUGUCGACACAAGUGUUCAUAUUGGAUGUUCUUCAUCUGCUCAUAAAGUUAAGGGGAAGAGAGCCGCCAACGUUCAGAAAAAGCUUAACCGUAGAAAUAAGAUUGCAAAGACUGCAAAAAAA